GCCAGGGUGACAAAGUGGUUUGAGCAUUGGACUGAAACUCUAGAGACUAGGGUUCGAAUCCCAGCUACACCA